rnacentral:rRNA from 1 species
UACGGAGGGUGCGAGCGUUGUUCGGAAUCACUGGGCGUAAAGCGCGUGUAGGCGGUCUACUAAGUCUGAUGUGAAAGCCCGGGGCUCACCCUCGGAAGUGCAUUGGAAACUGGCAGACUGGAGUCCCGGAGAGGAGGGUGGAAUUCCUGGUGUAGCGGUGAAAUGCGUAGAUAUCAGGAGGAACACCGGUGGCGAAGGCGGCCCUCUGGACGGUGACUGACGCUGAGACGCGAAAGCGUGGGGAGCAAACAGG